CAGGGAAUAGUUUAGAUAGAACUUCAGCUUUGGGAGUUGAUGGUGGGGCAAUUGCUUCUUCCCUGA
rnacentral:tRNA from 1 species